GGUGCGUCUGCUCUACCUGGAGUGGGUGGCCAAGCACCGGCCGUCCCGCAACGCGCUCGCGGAAGAGGCGAGCAGGUUCGAGGUGUUCAAGGACAACCUCCGCUACAUCGACGCCCAUAACGCGGCGGCCGACCGCGGGGAGCACGCCUUCCGCCUUGGCCUCAACCGGUUCGCCGCCCUGACCAACGAGGAGUACCGGGCCAAGUAUCUAGGCGUCCGGGCCGCCACGUCCCGCCGGAGGAGGGCCUCAUCGGAGGGCAGCAACCGGUACCGGCUGAGGGACGGCGAUUAUUUGCCUGAUUCCAUCGAUUGGAGGGAGAAGGGCGCUGUUGUCGGCGUUAAAGAUCAAGGCAGCUGCGGUGGGUGCUGAUAUUUUCAUUUCUCCCUGCGUUGACUUCAAUUAGUUGCAAUUUCUGCUCUAUUGUUCUGUUUGCUUUCUGCUAAUAACACUUUAAAUCUGAUAUUAUUUUCAUUUAAUUACAUUUACAUGAAGAUCGAUCUUUUCCUCUCUUUUUUUUCCCUCCUUGUGAAGUUUCCCCUUUUCUUCGGUUUUGACUUUUGGUAAACGACAUGAUUUUGCUUCCUACGAUGUACUAAAGGUGUUGUAUUUUGGAUGAUCUUCGAGUAGAUCUGCUUUCAGAUUCUGUUUCAGCCCCUCUUUUUUGUGUAAACUUUGCUUACUCUACAAAAUUAUUUACUGCUAGUAUCACAUGUAGUUCAUGAUUCAUCUGUUUCAGCCCCCCCUUCUUGUGUAAAUUUUGCUUACUCUACAAAACUAUUAACUGCUAGUAUCACACUUAGUUCAUGAUUCAGGAUCUUAUCCUGUUAGAUCAAGUCACCAAUGAAGGAUUUUUUUGGUUUCAAAGAUCUGAAUUGGCAUGCUGAUGAUAUCUAGAUCUGAUGGUGUCACAGGGAGCUGCUGGGCAUUUUCGACGAUUGCUGCUGUGGAAGGUAUCAACCAGAUCGUGACUGGCGACCUGAUCUCUCUGUCCGAGCAGGAAUUGGUGGACUGUGACACCUACUACAACCAGGGCUGCAACGGGGGGCUCAUGGAUUAUGCCUUUGAGUUCAUCAUCAACAAUGGUGGUAUCGACACCGAUGAGGACUACCCAUACAAAGCCCGAGAUGGAACUUGCGAUACUUACAGGGUGACCUAUUGAUUAGUCAUUUACAACUAGCAACCCCCUUUUUUUCCUGUUGCUUUGUUGUUUGUGGAUGAUGUUCUAAUGAAGUUUGGUGCCCGCCUUUGUCAUGUAGAAAA
rnacentral:lncRNA from 1 species